rnacentral:rRNA from 1 species
UACGGGGGGGGCAAGCGUUGUUCGGAAUUACUGGGCGUAAAGGGUUCGUAGGUGGCUCGCUAAGUCAGACGUGAAAUCCCUCAGCUUAACUGGGGAACUGCGUCUGAGACUGGCAGGCUCGAGUGCAGGAGAGGAACGCGGAAUUCCAGGUGUAGCGGUGAAAUGCGUAGAUAUCUGGAGGAACACCGGUGGCGAAGGCGGCAUCCUGGACCGGUAUUGACGCUGAGGCGCGAAAGCUAGGGGAGCAAACGGG